AGGGAGAAUGGAGUGAGUGAGGGAGGAUAGAGAGAGAAAGGAGUGGGGGGAUAGAGAGAGAAAGGAUUGGGGGGAUAGAGAGAGAAUGGAGUGAGUGAGGGAGGAUAGAGAGAAAGGAGUGGGGAGACAGAGAGAAAGGAGUGGGGGGAUAGAGAGAGAAUGGAGUGAGUGAGGGAGGAUAGAGAGAGAAAGGAGUGGGGGGAUAUAGAGAGAAAGGAGUGGGGGGCAGGAUACUUAGGCAUUUGAUAAACACUUUCCCUUCUGGAUUUUCCGUCACAAUUUUAGUGGGAAGAGGGAAAGCCCAGUUUAGGAUGCUGAAUCUCCUAGCUGCUUAAUUUUUUAGAUACUUACCACCCUCUUUUAGUUGUUUACUCAUCUACAGCAAUUCAGGUCUGGCAGCAACUUUGCGUGAUUGAACAGAACACCAAAUAUAAUGUAACACUGAACAAUGCAAUGAAAACCAUGAAGUAGUAGUUCAGUUGUUUAGGUGGAAGUGAAGUGGAGGAGCUGUGGGGAGGUCUAGUCUGACGGGUUCAGCUCCAAACCAACCUCUGAAAGUUUGUCUUCAUGCUAAUUUGCAAUUGUGGAUAUUAUCUGUCAACACUGCAGUGACGAAUGGAGGGAGACCAAUAAUUAUACUGACCCGUUCAGUGGAGAGAGACAUGGGGGCUGCGGGAGGCGCGAAGCGUCGCACAGAGCGGUGAAGUCAAGAUAAAACUAAAAGAGUAACGCAUGAUUCCUCAGAACAGCUGACACACCCAUAAAGUGCUAUAAUUGAAAAUGUAAAUGAGGAGGUGGAUGAAGACAUGCGAGUGCUCGGGCCCUUGCUCUGCUCAUCUGUCUGCGAGGCGCUACCUGGAUUGUGGAUUCUAAGGUUCAUUAAAAAAUGAAGUAAUUAAUGCGUUUGUCAGCACUCUCUUUCUCUUCUCCUGCAGCCAGACUGCACAAAUCAAGCCUUUCUGACUCCGCUGCCCCGGGACCAAUCAGAGACAGAUCUGGGACUGAUACACAUCCUCACACCUUCACCACUUUUGUUUUCAGAGCAGUCUACUCCAAUUUAAAAGAACAUUAGAUGGAUAACCACAAUGCUGGGCAGAGAUUUUUUCUGGAGAAUCCCACUUUUGUUUGUACAGGAUUUGCUCUCGCCUCCUUUGAAGGACAGACUUCAAUAGUUGAAAAAAAUGAAAUAAAUUGUCAACGGUGUGCGUACUGGGAGCGGAGUCAGGUGCAGGAGAGCAGAGAGUUGUGAACAGGCACACACUUUAUUUAGGCAGGAGAAACCAACAGACGGACACCACUGCGUCAAAACUGUCACGAUUCCCAC
rnacentral:lncRNA from 1 species